GAUCCUGGCUCAGGAUGAACGCUGGCGGCGUGCCUAACACAUGCAAGUCGAGCGAACUUCUUCGGAAGUGAGCGGCGGACGGGUGAGUAACGCGUGGGUAACCUGCCCUAUACACACGGAUAACGUACCGAAAGGUACGCUAAUACGAGAUAACAUAUUUUUAUCGCAUGGUAAGAAUAUCAAAGCUCUGGCGGUAUAGGAUGGACCCGCGUCUGAUUAGCUAGUUGGUAAGGUAACGGCUUACUAAGGCG
rnacentral:rRNA from 1 species